CUCUGUGCCAGCAGCCGCGGUAAUACAGAGGUCUCAAGCGUUGUUCGGAAUCACUGGGCGUAAAGCGUGCGUAGGCGGUUUCGUAAGUCGUGUGUGAAAGGCGGGGGCUCAACCCCCGGACUGCACAUGAUACUGCGAGACUAGAGUAAUGGAGGGGGAACCGGAAUUCUCGGUGUAGCAGUGAAAUGCGUAGAUAUCGAGAGGAACACUCGUGGCGAAGGCGGGUUCCUGGACAUUAACUGACGCUGAGGCACGAAGGCCAGGGGAGCGAAAGGGAUUAGAUACCCCUGUAGUCCUGGCAGUAAACGGUGCACGCUUGGUGUGCGGGGAAUCGACCCCCUGCGUGCCGGAGCUAACGCGUUAAGCGUGCCGCCUGGGGAGUACGGUCGCAAGAUUAAAACUCAAAGAAAUUGACGGGGACCCGCACAAGCGGUGGAGUAUGUGGUUUAAUUCGAUGCAACGCGAAGAACCUUACCUGGGCUUGACAUGUAAUGAACAACAUGUGAAAGCAUGCGACUCUUCGGAGGCGUUACACAGGUGCUGCAUGGCCGUCGUCAGCUCGUGUCGUGAGAUGUUUGGUUAAGUCCAGCAACGAGCGCAACCCCUGUUGCCAGUUACCAGCACGUAAAGGUGGGGACUCUGGCGAGACUGCCCAGAUCAACUGGGAGGAAGGUGGGGACGACGUCAGGUCAGUAUGGCCCUUAUGCCCAGGGCUGCACACGUACUACAAUGCCCAGUACAGAGGGGGCCGAAGCCGCGAGGCGGAGGAAAUCCUAAAAACUGGGCCCAGUUCGGACUGUAGGCUGCAACCCGCCUACACGAAGCCGGAAUCGCUAGUAAUGGCGCAUCAGCUACGGCGCCGUGAAUACGUUCCCGGGUCUUGUACACACCGCCCGUCACAUCAUGGAAGCCGGUCGCACCCGAAGUAUCUGAAGCCAACCGCAAGGAGGCAGGGUCCUAAGGUGAGACUGGUAACUGGGAUGAAGUCGUAACAAGGUAGCCGUAGGGGAACCUGCGGCUG
rnacentral:rRNA from 1 species